GAUGAAGAACGCAGCGAAAUGCGAUAAGUAAUGUGAAUUGCAGAAUUCAGUGAAUCAUCGAAUCUUUGAACGCACAUUGCGCCCGCCAGUAUUCUGGCGGGCAUGCCUGUUCGAGCGUCAUUUCAACCCUCAAGCCCAGCUUGGUGUUGGGGAUCGGCACAGGCGCCCUCGGGCGCCCGCCGUCCCCUAAAUCUAGUGGCGGUCCCGCUGCAGCCUCCUCUGCGUAGUAGUUUUCUUCUCGCAAGGGCAGCUCGGUGGCGACCUCGCCGUAAAACCCCCAACUUCUGAAAGGUUGACCUCGAAUCAGGUAGGAAUACCCGCUGAACUUAAGCAUAUCAAUAAGCGGAGGA
rnacentral:misc_RNA from 1 species